AGAGUUUGAUCCUGGCUCAGGAUGAACGCUGGCGGCGUGCCUAACACAUGCAAGUCGAACGAAGCUUGACGGAUGAUUUCUUCGGAAUGAAACCUGAUAUGACUUAGUGGCGGACGGGUGAGUAACACGUGAGCAACCUGCCUUUCAGAGGGGGAUAACGGCUGGAAACGGUCGCUAAUACCGCAUGAUGUGUUCGGAUGGCAUCAUCUGAACAUCAAAGAUUUAUCGCUGAAAGAUGGGCUCGCGUCUGAUUAGAUAGUUGGUGGGGUAACGGCCUACCAAGUCUACGAUCAGUAGCCGGACUGAGAGGUUGAACGGCCACAUUGGGACUGAGAUACGGCCCAGACUCCUACGGGAGGCAGCAGUGGGGAAUAUUGCACAAUGGGGGAAACCCUGAUGCAGCAACGCCGCGUGAAGGAUGACGGUUUUCGGAUUGUAAACUUCUUUUCUUAGUGACGAAGACAGUGACGGUAGCUAAGGAAUAAGCAUCGGCUAACUACGUGCCAGCAGCCGCGGUAAUACGUAGGAUGCAAGCGUUAUCCGGAUUUACUGGGUGUAAAGGGAGCGCAGGCGGGACUGCAAGUUGGAUGUGAAAUACCGUGGCUUAACCACGGAACUGCAUCCAAAACUGUAGUUCUUGAGUGAAGUAGAGGCAAGCGGAAUUCCGAGUGUAGCGGUGAAAUGCGUAGAUAUUCGGAGGAACACCAGUGGCGAAGGCGGCUUGCUGGGCUUUAACUGACGCUGAGGCUCGAAAGUGUGGGGAGCAAACAGGAUUAGAUACCCUGGUAGUCCACACUGUAAACGAUGAUAGCUAGGUGUGGGGGGUCUGACCCCUUCCGUGCCGGAGUUAACGCAAUAAGCUAUCCACCUGGGGAGUACGACCGCAAGGUUGAAACUCAAAGGAAUUGACGGGGGCCCGCACAAGCAGUGGAGUAUGUGGUUUAAUUCGAAGCAACGCGAAGAACCUUACCAGGUCUUGACAUCCGACUAACGAGAUAGAGAUAUGUCAGGUGCCCUUCGGGGAAAGUCGAGACAGGUGGUGCAUGGUUGUCGUCAGCUCGUGUCGUGAGAUGUUGGGUUAAGU
rnacentral:rRNA from 1 species